rnacentral:rRNA from 1 species
AUUGAGCGCUGGCGGCAUGCUUUACACAUGCAAGUCGAACGGUAACAGGGAGCUUGCUCCGCUGACGAGUGGCGAACGGGUGAGUAAUAUAUCGGAACGUACCCAGAAGUGGGGGAUAACGUAGCGAAAGUUACGCUAAUACCGCAUACGAUCCACGGAUGAAAGUAGGGGACCUUCGGGCCUUAUGCUUUUGGAGCGGCCGAUAUCUGAUUAGCUAGUUGGUGAGGUAAAGGCUCACCAAGGCGACGAUCAGUAGCUGGUCUGAGAGGACGACCAGCCACACUGGAACUGAGACACGGUCCAGACUCCUACGGGUGGCAGCAGUGGGGAAUUUUGGACAAUGGGCGCAAGCCUGAUCCAGCAAUGCCGCGUGAGUGAAGAAGGCCUUCGGGUUGUAAAGCUCUUUUGUCAGGGAAGAAACGGCUGUGGCUAAUAUCCACGGUUAAUGACGGUACCUGAAGAAUAAGCACCGGCUAACUACGUGCCAGCCGCCGCCGUAAUAC